CCUACGGGGGGCAGCAGUGGGGAAUAUUGCACAAUGGGGGAAACCCUGAUGCAGCGACGCCGCGUGAGUGAAGAAGUAUUUCGGUACGUAAAGCUCUAUCAGCAGGGAAGAAAAUGACGGUACCUGACUACGACGCCCCGGCUAACUACGUGCCAGCAGCCGCGGUAAUACGUAGGGGGCAAGCGUUAUCCGGAUUUACUGGGUGUAAAGGGGGCGUAGACGGCAGCGCAAGUCUGGAGUGAAAUCCGAUGGCUUAACCAUGGAACUGCUUUGGAAACUGUGCAGCUAGAGUGCAGGAGAGGUAAGCGGAAUUCCUAGUGUAGCGGUGAAAUGCGUAGAUAUUAGGAGGAACACCAGUGGCGAAGGCGGCUUACUGGACUGUAACUGACGUUGAGGCUCGAAAGCGUGGGGAGCAAACAGGAUUAGAUACCCCAGUAGUC
rnacentral:rRNA from 1 species